UAAUAGUGUAUAUUAAAGUUGUUGCAGUUAAAAAGCUCGUAGUUGAAUGUUGGUGUCGAACGAGCGGUCAGCUUCGGCUGUACUGCUCUCUCGACUCCUUCCUUCUGUGGACUACGUCGCACUUUACUGUGUGGCGCUAGGACGCAGAUCGUUUACUGUGAAAAAAUUAGAGCGUUCAAAGCAGGCCGUACGCUUGAAUACAUUAGCAUGGAAUAAUGGAAUAGGACGUCGGGCCUAUUUUGUUGGUUCUAGGACCGUCGUAAUGAUUAAUAGGGACAGUUGGGGCCGUUUAUAUUCCGUAGUCAGAGGUGAAAUUCUUGGAUUUACGGAAGAUAAACUACUGCGAAAGCAUUCGGCAAGGAUGUUUUCGUUAA
rnacentral:rRNA from 1 species